GACGUAGGGCGCAAGCGUUGUCCGGAUUUAUUGGGCGUAAAGAGCUCGUAGGCGGUUUGUUGCGUCGGCCGUGAAAACCUGCAGCUUAACUGUGGGCCUGCGGCCGAUACGGGCAGACUUGAGUUCGGUAGGGGAGACUGGAAUUCCUGGUGUAGCGGUGAAAUGCGCAGAUAUCAGGAGGAACACCGGUGGCGAAGGCGGGUCUCUGGGCAGUAACUGACGCUGAGGAGCGAAAGCGUGGGGAGCGAACAGG
rnacentral:rRNA from 1 species